AGCGAACGCUGGCGGCAGGCUUAACACAUGCAAGUCGAACGGUCCUUCGGGAUAGUGGCGGACGGGUGAGUAACACGUGGGAACGGACCCUUAGGUUCGGAACAACACAGGGAAACUUGUGCUAAUACCGGAUAAGCCCUUCGGGGGAAAGAUUUAUCGCCUUUGGAGCGGCCCGCGUCUGAUUAGCUUGUUGGUGAGGUAAUGGCUCACCAAGGCUACGAUCAGUAGCUGGUCUGAGAGGAUGGCCAGCCACACUGGGACUGAGACACGGCCCAGACUCCUACGGGAGGCAGCAGUAGGGAAUCUUGCGCAGUGGGCGAAAGCCUGACGCAGCCAUGCCGCGUGGAUGAUGAAGGUCUUAGGAUUGUAAAAUCCUUUCACCGGGGACGAUAAUGACGGUACCCGGAGAAGAAGCCCCGGCUAACUUCGUGCCAGCAGCCGCAGUAA
rnacentral:rRNA from 1 species